rnacentral:rRNA from 1 species
UUUAUCGCCUGAGGAUGAGCCCGCGUCGGAUUAGCUAGUUGGUGAGGUAAAAGCUCACCAAGGCGACGAUCCGUAGCUGGUCUGAGAGGAUGAUCAGCCACACUGGGACUGAGACACGGCCCAGACUCCUACGGGAGGCAGCAGUGGGGAAUAUUGGACAAUGGGCGAAAGCCUGAUCCAGCAAUGCCGCGUGAGUGAUGAAGGCCUUAGGGUUGUAA